UUUUUAGCCUCUUCCCCACCUCUAUGGAGCAUCAGUAGGAAACCUCUCUGCUGUAUACCUUCAGUGUAACGAAACCUCAUUCUUUUUUGAAGCUCGGAGUAAAACUGCUUGCAAACACCUCUGGAAGUGCAGUGUGGAACAUCAUACAUUUUUUAGAAUGCCAGAAAAUGAAUCUAAUUCACUGUCAAGAAAACUCAGCAAGUUUGGAUCCAUACGUUAUAAGCACCGCUACAGUGGCAGGACAGCUUUGCAAAUGAGCCGAGAUCUUUCUAUUCAGCUUCCCCGGCCUGAUCAGAAUGUGACAAGAAGUCGAAGCAAGACUUACCCUAAGCGAAUAGCACAAACACAGCCAGCUG
rnacentral:sRNA from 1 species